GUGGCGAACGGGUGAGUAACACGUGGGUAAUCUACCCUUAAGACGAGGAUAACAGUUGGAAACGGCUGCUAAUACUGGAUAGGUAUAUUUGAGGCAUCUUGAAUAUAUUAAAGAUUUAUCGCUUAAGGAGGAGCCUGCGGCGCAUUAGUUAGUUGGUGGGGUAAAAGCCUACCAAGACGAUGAUGCGUAGCCGGACUGAGAGGUUGAACGGCCACAUUGGAACUGAGAAACGGUCCAAACUCCUACGGGAGGCAGCAGUAGGGAAUUUUCGGCAAUGGGGGGAACCCUGACCGAGCAACGCCGCGUGAUUGAAGAAGCUCUUCGGAGCGUAAAGAUCUUUUAUUGGGGAAGAAAAAAAUGACGGUACCCAAUGAAUAAGCCCCGGCUAACUAUGUGCCAGCAGCCGCGGUAAUACAUAGGGGGCAAGCGUUAUCCGGAAUUAUUGGGCGUAAAGGGUGCGUAGGCGGCUGUUUAAGUCUUUGGUGUAAGUGCAGU
rnacentral:rRNA from 1 species